GACAGAGGUCCCGAGCGUUAGGCGGAAUCACUGGGCUUAAAGCGUGUGUAGGCGGAUGCCUAAGUACCUUGUGAAAUCCCACGGCUUAACCGUGGAACUGCUUGGUAUACUGGGUGUCUUGAGCUACCUAGGGGCGAGCGGAACAACGGUGGAGCGGUGAAAUGCGCAGAUAUCAGGAAGAACACCCGUGGCUAAGGCGGCUCUCUAGUACGGUACUGACGCUGAGACGCGAAAGCGUGGGGAGCGAACAGG
rnacentral:rRNA from 1 species